rnacentral:rRNA from 1 species
UACGGAGGGUGCAAGCGUUGCUCGGAUUUACUGGGCGUAAAGCGGGCGCAGGCGGCUGUACAAGUCGGGUGUGAAAGCCCGGGGCUCAACCCCGGAAUUGCAUCCGAAACUGUUCAGCUUGAGUACGGUAGAGGUAAGCGGAAUUCCUGGUGUAGAGGUGAAAUUCGUAGAUAUCAGGAGGAACAUCAGUGGCGAAGGCGGCUUACUGGUCCGAUACUGACGCUCAUGCCCGAAAGCGUGGGGAGCAAAC